rnacentral:snRNA from 1 species
GUGCUUGCUUCAGCAGCACAAAUACUAAAAUUGGAAUGACACAGAGAAGAUUAGCAUGGCCUCUGCACAGGAAUGACACAUAAAAUAAAAUCAGUCAUAGCAAUUCUC